UCUUUUCUUGAAUUGAUUCAUAUUUUACAAUAAAUCGGAAAAAAUUAAUACGAAUUUGAUAAUAAUUAUGAAAUUAUUGUUAUCAAAAUUUAAAGUUUGAAAUUUUAAGAAAUUCUCAUAGAAAAUAUAACAUUUUACAUAAAUAUAUUCUUAAACUUUACAAAAAGACCCUAUAUUGUUCAAAUUUGCAUAAAAUACAAUAUUUUCUAAUUUUCUUAUCAACUCUUACUUUUUGUCCUAUUUUCAUAAAAUUUGUAAUUGCGAAUUUUUGUCCAUGAUCAUUUUGUCCUAUGAUUUCUGUCCUACAUUCGUGCAAAAAAUCUCCCACUAUUCCACCAAUAACGAGGGUAGAGAGUGGUGGUAAUUGUAAACUGUGUUGGUGUCUGUAGACGACUUGUGUUUCUUCUCUACUCAUGUAUUUCAACGCUGACCAGUUACAGAGUACUUCGUUUAGAUAUCAAGCUGUGUGACGGCAUUUUAUAAAAGCAGUCGGGGGGAUUUCUACCAGAUUUCCAUUCUAUAUCUUAUCGAAGGAAGUAGUUUGCGCAAAGUAAACAAAUGUUGCAUGCAUUUAGAUAUGAUCUGAAACAAAUGAUUAUCUGUGAGUAUUUACAUUAGAGGAGGAAUUAUGUGUCUCCUACUCGAGGAGCUUCAUGGAAAUUAUUUUACUCAUACAUUAAGCUAAUUCAAUUCCAUCUCCAAAAAUGAUGAUGUUUCUCAGAAUCCAAUUUCUGCUCUGCAUGGGGUAUAUUCUACUGUCAUAUUGUCAAGAGCUCACGCUUACUCCGGCACUCAUGUUUAUUCCUCGUGGACGGACAGCCUUCUUCAACUGUAUGCUUCACCAGGCUGCACACAUUGGGACAGAGAUUGGGUCAAAGCACUUGGUGUGGUGUAAAGAUCAUAAAGAAAUAGCACAAUACCAUUGUAUGUG